GGCCUUCCCUAUGGAUGACGGGCGAGAAUGGGUCUCCCAUCGCCCGAAUUCAGGACAACUGGAAAUGAGGUUCAGAACGGGAACCGCGGGGAGUAGUUACUUCUGACCACUCCGAACACAAAAGCUGCCAUUUCUUUCCUCGUCCUGAGCUUGGCACAAGUCCUCUUUAAGACUAAUGGCUUGGUCACAAGAUAAAGGUGGAGAGAUGUAAGUGCCAUCGACUCGCAGGUCAUCAAAGCACGGCUUUCUGAAGGCAUAGGAGUCGUCGCAGCAGUGGCCCACUCCUGCAUUGACAGGCUUCCCACCGUGUCUUCUGCACAGCUCUCCAAGAAUCAGCUUUGUCUUGUCCGGAAGAGAAUUAAAGGAAGAGGGAACGCAUGCAGGAGCUGCAGUGUUGCCUGUCUUACCAGGCUACCGAGAGAGUCAACUGGAUGCCACGAUUUCCACUUGAAAGGAUGGUGCACAAGCCACCAUGUUUUCUUCACGUUCGGUUUCUUCACUGAGGGAUUUUCCUAAGUGUGCAGCUGUGGUGUUAAAAAUAAGCAGACGUAAGUGAGCCAGGCAAGAGGUCUUCCCGCUGGGAUGCUCACCGUG
ensembl:processed_transcript Gm43448 predicted gene 43448